GAAACGACUGCUAAGACUGGAUAGGAAACAAAAAGGCAUCUUUUUGUUUUUAAAAGACCUUCUUAUAGGUAUGCUUAAAGAGGGGCUUGCGCCACAUUAGUUAGUUGGUAGGGUAAAAGCCUACCAAGACGAUGAUGUGUAGCUGGACUGAGAGGUUGAACAGCCACAUUGGGACUGAGACACGGCCCAAACUCCUACGGUAGGCAGCAGUAGGGAAUUUUCGGCAAUGGAGGAAACUCUGACCGAGCAACGCCGCGUGAACGAUGAAGUAUUUCGGUAUGUAAAGUUCUUUUAUUGAAGAAGAAAAAGUAGUGGAAAAACUAUAUUGACGUUAUUCAAUGAAUAAGCCCCGGCUAACUAUGUGCCAGCAGCCGCGGUAAGACAUAGGGGGCGAGCGUUAUCCGGAAUUAUUGGGCGUAAAGGGUGCGUAGGCUGUUAGAUAAGUCUAUGGUCUAAGUGCAACGCUCAACGUUGUGAUGCUAUAAAAACUGUUUAGCUAGAGUGAGAUAGAGGCAAGCGGAAUUCCAUGUGUAGCGGUAAAAUGUGUAAAUAUAUGGAGGAACACCAGAAGCGUAGGCGGCUUGCUGGGUCUUUACUGACGCUGAGGCACGAAAGCGUGGGUAGCAAACAGGAUUAGAUACCCUGGUAGUCCACGCCGUAAACGAUGAGUACUAAGUGUGGGGUAAAACCGGUACUGAAGUUAACACAUUAAGUACUCCGCCUGAGUAGUACGUACGCAAGUAUGAAACUUAAAGGAAUUGACGGGACUCCGCACUAGCGGUGGAUCAUGUUGUUUAAUUCGAAGAUACACGAAAAAUCUUACCAGGUCUUGACAUACUUCUGCAAAGCUAUAGAAAUAUAGUGGAGGUUAUCAGGGAUACAGGUGGUGCAUGGUUGUCGUCAGUUCGUGUCGUGAGAUGUUAGGUUAAGUCCUAAAACGAGCGCAACCCUUGUCGUUAAUUGCCAGCAUAAUGGUGGGGACUUUAGCGAGACUGCCAAUUAAACAUUGGAGGAAGGUGAGGAUUACGUCAAAUCAUCAUGCCCCUUAUGAUCUGGGCUACAAACGUGAUACAAUGGCUGUGACAAAGAGUAGCUGAAACGCGAGUUUUUAGCCAAUCUCAAAAAAGCAGUCUCAGUUCGGAUUGAAGUCUGUAACUCGACUUCAUGAAGUUGGAAUCGCUAGUAAUCGCGAAUCAGCAUGUCGCGGUGAAUACGUUCCCGGGGUUUGUACACACCGCCCGUCAAAUCACGA
rnacentral:rRNA from 1 species